UACGUAGGUGACAAGCGUUGUCCGGAUUUACUGGGCGUAAAGAGCGCGCAGGCGGUCGAUCAAGUCGAGUGUGAAAGCCCCCCGGCUCAACUGGGGAGGGUCAUUCGAUACUGAUCGACUCGAAGGCAGGAGAGGGUAGUGGAAUUCCCGGUGUAGUGGUGAAAUGCGUAGAUAUCGGGAGGAACACCAGUGGCGAAGGCGACUACCGUGGCCUGUUUCUUGACGCUGAGGCGCGAAAGCUAGGGGAGCAAAGCGGG
rnacentral:rRNA from 1 species